UACAGAGGUCUCAAGCGUUGUUCGGAUUCAUUGGGCGUAAAGGGCGCGUAGGCGGCUUUGCAAGUGACGGGUGAAAGCCCUCGGCUUAACCGAGGAACUGCCUGUCAGACUGUGAGGCUUGAGACCGGGAGAGGUGAGUGGAAUUCCCAGUGUAGCGGUGAAAUGCGUAGAUAUUGGGAGGAACACCAGUGGCGAAGGCGGCUCACUGGACCGGAACUGACGCUGAGGCGCGAAAGCGUGGGGAGCAAACAGG
rnacentral:rRNA from 1 species